rnacentral:misc_RNA from 1 species
GUGAAGAACGUAGCGAAAUGCGAUAAGUAAUGUGAAUUGCAGAAUUCAGUGAAUCAUCGAAUCUUUGAACGCACCUUGCACCCUUUGGCAUUCCGAAGGGUAUGCUCGUUUGAGUGUCAUUGUACUCUCACACUCUCCGAUCCUAUGGAUUCGGGGAGCGGUGGACUUGGGUGUUGCUGCCUUUCCCUGUGGCUCACCUCAAAUGCGUCAGUGCACCUCUUGGUUGGACAUAGUACGGCGUGAUAAGUGUCUUCGCCGGCACCCCGCAAGAGGGUGGCCGAUCGGGAGCUCUGCGCUUUCAAACCGUCUUCGGACAAUUUCUGACAUCUUGACCUCAAAUCGAGUAGGACUACCCGCUGAACUUAAGCAUAUCAAUAAGCGGAGGA